rnacentral:lncRNA from 1 species
UGUUAUUGAUCAUAUAUGUGGGCUGAAGGGGUAAAUAUUAAAACUGGCAAAUCAAGUACGUCUCCAAUUAUGUGUAUAUGUUGUAUAUAUUCUUGCAAAAAUUGAUUGUUAGAGAAUGAGUAUAUGAUGUGUAUUUUCUUGCAAUUUGUAUUUCAGGAAGAUGGAAAUUGUUUCAUGAAAAGUGAUGGAGUAAAGAGGGGCUUGAAGAGGAUGGAUUCGCUGAUUCUAUUACAUAACAGGUGAGCCCCAGAUUUAUUUUCAAAAUAGUCACAAAUAUCAAUUUAUAAUUUUAGCUUAAAAACUGUGGAAGUGCUUCUGUCGGCUGACAGCAACAUCUUGCAUAUUAAGCAGGUGAUAGUUCCAAGGAAAUUGAUGAGUUGACAGAGAAUUAAACGAGUUGAAUAAACGUCUGGAGCAGAAAGAGGUGUGAUUCUAUUACAUAUUAAUUGGUUCAUAUUAUUCUUCCAACUAAAAUUUAAUUGUAUAUCUGAUUAGCCAUAUGAUCAAACAGCUAAGAUAGGAUGAUAGAAGAAAUGAAUAUGAACGGCUUAAACAUCAAUCUUUGAACCAGUGUAAGUUUACCCAUUUUUGAAUUUCCUCACUUUAACUUUUAUGUUUUAUGCUUAUAUCAACAUGUUGAUUCACACCUAAAUCAAUGAAAGCUUUUCUCUUGCAGGUACUUCAAAGACAGACAGAACAGGCCGCAAUGGCGGCCAAGAGGUUAAAGGAGUUGCUAGAAGCUCGUAAGUUGUCCGCAUGUGAUAGCUCAGUUGAAUAAUUUUCUUUAUUGCAAGAGGAGAUGAUUUCCAUGAUAUUAUUUGUUGUUAUUAAUAGUUUAAAUUUUAAAACCUCGGCCUAGUUCUAAAUUGUUCCAUCUAAUAAUCAAAUCAAUUGGAAUUGGAUUACUAUGGUAGUCAUAGCUUGGGGACAGGGGUAUAAUUUCUGCCAAUU